AACGAACGCUGGCGGCAGGCUUAACACAUGCAAGUCGAACGCAUCGCAAGAUGAGUGGCAGACGGGUGAGUAACGCGUGGGAACAUACCCUUUUCUACGGAAUAGCUCUGGGAAACUGGAAUUAAUACCGUAUACGCCCUACGGGGGAAAGAUUUAUCGGGGAAGGAUUGGCCCGCGUUGGAUUAGCAAGUUGGUGGGGUAAAGGCCUACCAAGGCGACGAUCCAUAGCUGGUCUGAGAGGAUGAUCAGCCACAUUGGGACUGAGACACGGCCCAAACUCCUACGGGAGGCAGCAGUGGGGAAUAUUGGACAAUGGGCGCAAGCCUGAUCCAGCCAUGCCGCGUGAGUGAUGAAGGCCUUAGGGUUGUAAAGCUCUUUCACCGAUGAAGAUAAUGACGGUAGUCGGAGAAGAAGCCCCGGCUAACUUCGUGCCAGCCGCCGCAGUAAGAC
rnacentral:rRNA from 1 species